UGCUCCUCUGACGUUAGCGGCGGACGGGUGAGUAACACGUGGAUAACCUACCUAUAAGACUGGGAUAACUUCGGGAAACCGGAGCUAAUACCGGAUAAUAUAUUGAACCGCAUGGUUCAAUAGUGAAAGACGGUUUUGCUGUCACUUAUAGAUGGAUCCGCGCCGCAUUAGCUAGUUGGUAAGGUAACGGCUUACCAAGGCAACGAUGCGUAGCCGACCUGAGAGGGUGAUCGGCCACACUGGAACUGAGACACGGUCCAGACUCCUACGGGAGGCAGCAGUAGGGAAUCUUCCGCAAUGGGCGAAAGCCUGACGGAGCAACGCCGCGUGAGUGAUUAAGGUCUUCGGAUCGUAAAACUCUGUUAUUAGGGAAGAACAAAUGUGUAAGUAACUAUGCACGUCUUGACGGUACCUAAUCAGAAAGCCACGGCUAACUACGUGCCAGCAGCCGCGGUAAUACGUAGGUGGCAAGCGUUAUCCGGAAUUAUUGGGCGUAAAGCGCGCGUAGGCGGUUUUUUAAGUCUGAUGUGAAAGCCCACGGCUCAACCGUGGAGGGUCAUUGGAAACUGGAAAACUUGAGUGCAGAAGAGGAAAGUGGAAUUCCAUGUGUAGCGGUGAAAUGCGCAGAGAUAUGGAGGAACACCAGUGGCGAAGGCGACUUUCUGGUCUGUAACUGACGCUGAUGUGCGAAAGCGU
rnacentral:rRNA from 1 species